rnacentral:tRNA from 1 species
CCUUUCUAAGGAUGAUUAAGAAUAGGAAUUUCCUUUUUUAAUCGGAUUAGACAUAAAGAGUUCAAAUCCUCAUAGAUUUGAACCAUGCUUCUUUUAGUCGAAAAAGAAGUAGUGCAAACUUGCCGUCUUCGUUUCUCUUUCUUCAGAUGAUGAUCCCAAGCCUUCAGGUAAUCUGUUCAUCAUGACUUUAUAAAGUAGCUUGGAAGACUUUGAUAUUUUCUUUAGGGUCUGCUUUUUGUUUUUAUGUCAGAUUGUACCGGAGAAGGUUUUUCCGGUUUAUCCCGGAGGGCUUGUAGCUCAGUUGGUUAGAGCGCGCGCUUGAUAAGCGUGAGGUCGGAGGUUCAAGUCCUCCCAGGCCCACCAUUGAUAUUCUUAACAUUCAUGCGCUCAUGCUCAUUCACGUCUGAGCUUUUAUUGGAGUUCAUAGGUUUUAUUGUUCUUUCCAGUUUAGGCAGUAAUUAGAGGAGCUUUUUCCUUCAAAAGUUGGCUACGACAUAGAUGGGCAUUGAAGACGGUACGUCUAAAGGUUCAGCGAAAGCGUUUGAUUGUGUGGUUGUUUACUUUGUUGAAGGGGGCCGUAGCUCAGCUGGGAGAGCACCUGCUUUGCAAGCAGGGGGUCGUCGGUUCGAUCCCGUCCGGCUCCACCAUUUUGGUUCAUCAUCAUUGUUAGAGAGUAGGUUUUGUAAAUAGAUUUAAGAUCUAUUUACCUGUUCUAUUGAAAUUGUGAAGAGAAGAUAUAUUCAGACAUCAGUUUUAAAAGAAAUCUUUGAAAGAAGAUUUUUGGAAUUUGAUGUGUCGCAGAGGUUUGCUCAAAGCCUUUGCAUAUGAUUAGCGUUUUAACCGCGCUAUUGAGUAUAUCUCGAGAAACUGGUCUUUCUGCUGAUAUUUUGAGUUGAGUGUGCACGCAUUCAACAGUGAAUGAAUAUCGGCAAUGAGAACG